ACGAAUUCGCCCUUAGAGUUUGAUCCUGGCUCAGGAUGAACGCUAGCUACAGGCUUAACACAUGCAAGUCGAGGGGAAACGACAUCGAAAGCUUGCUUUUGAUGGGCGUCGACCGGCGCACGGGUGAGUAACGCGUAUCCAACCUGCCCACCACUUGGGGAUAACCUUGCGAAAGUAAGACUAAUACCCAAUGAUAUCUCUAGAAGACAUCUGAAAGAGAUUAAAGAUUUAUCGGUGAUGGAUGGGGAUGCGUCUGAUUAGCUUGUUGGCGGGGUAACGGCCCACCAAGGCGACGAUCAAUAGGGGUUCUGAGAGGAAGGUCCCCCACAUUGGAACUGAGACACGGUCCAAACUCCUACGGGAGGCAGCGAUGAGGAAUAUUGGUCAAUGGACGAGAGUCUGAACCAGCCAAGUAUCGUGCAGGAUGACGGCCCUAUGGGUUGUAAACUGCUUUUAUAAAGGAAUAAAGUGAGUCUCGUGAGACUUUUUGCAUGUACCUUAUGAAUAAUGACCGGCUAAUUCCGUGCC
rnacentral:rRNA from 1 species